rnacentral:rRNA from 1 species
CAGUACCGUGAGGGAAAGGCGAAAAGAACCCCGGCGAGGGGAGUGAAAAAGAACCUGAAACCGUGUACGUACAAGCAGUGGGAGCCUCUUAAUGGGGUGACUGCGUACCUUUUGUAUAAUGGGUCAGCGACUUAUAUUCUGUAGCAAGGUUAACCGAAUAGGGGAGCCGAAGGGAAACCGAGUCUUAACUGGGCGUUAAGUUGCAGGGUAUAGACCCGAAACCCGGUGAUCUAGCCAUGGGCAGGUUGAAGGUUGGGUAACACUAACUGGAGGACCGAACCGACUAAUGUUGAAAAAUUAGCGGAUGACUUGUGGCUGGGGGUGAAAGGCCAAUCAAACCGGGAGAUAGCUGGUUCUCCCCGAAAGCUAUUUAGGUAGCGCCUCGUGAAUUCAUCUCCGGGGGUAGAGCACUGUUUCGGCAAGGGGGUCAUCCCGACUUACCAACCCGAUGCAAACUGCGAAUACCGGAGAAUGUUAUCACGGGAGACACACGGCGGGUGCUAACGUCCGUCGUGAAGAGGGAAACAACCCAGACCGCCAGCUAAGGUCCCAAAGUCAUGGUUAAGUGGGAAACGAUGUGGGAAGGCCCAGACAGCCAGGAUGUUGGCUUAGAAGCAGCCAUCAUUUAAAGAAAGCGUAAUAGCUCACUGGUCGAGUCGGCCUGCGCGGAAGAUGUAACGGGGCUAAACCAUGCACCGAAGCUGCGGCAGCGACACUAUGUGUUGUUGGGUAGGGGAGCGUUCUGUAAGCCUGUGAAGGUGUACUGUGAGGUAUGCUGGAGGUAUCAGAAGUGCGAAUGCUGACAUAAGUAACGAUAAAGCGGGUGAAAAGCCCGCUCGCCGGAAGACCAAGGGUUCCUGUCCAACGUUAAUCGGGGCAGGGUGAGUCGACCCCUAAGGCGAGGCCGAAAGGCGUAGUCGAUGGGAAACAGGUUAAUAUUCCUGUACUUGGUGUUACUGCGAAGGGGGGACGGAGAAGGCUAUGUUGGCCGGGCGACGGUUGUCCCGGUUUAAGCGUGUAGGCUGGUUUUCCAGGCAAAUCCGGAAAACCAAGGCUGAGGCGUGAUGACGAGGCACUACGGUGCUGAAGCGACAAAUGCCCUGCUUCCAGGAAAAGCCUCUAAGCAUCAGGUAACAUCAAAUCGUACCCCAAACCGACACAGGUGGUCAGGUAGAGAAUACCAAGGCGCUUGAGAGAACUCGGGUGAAGGAACUAGGCAAAAUGGUGCCGUAACUUCGGGAGAAGGCACGCUGAUAUGUAGGUGAAGCGACUUGCUCGUGGAGCUGAAAUCAGUCGAAGAUACCAGCUGGCUGCAACUGUUUAUUAAAAACACAGCACUGUGCAAACACGAAAGUGGACGUAUACGGUGUGACGCCUGCCCGGUGCCGGAAGGUUAAUUGAUGGGGUUAGCGGCAACGCGAAGCUCUUGAUCGAAGCCCCGGUAAACGGCGGCCGUAACUAUAACGGUCCUAAGGUAGCGAAAUUCCUUGUCGGGUAAGUUCCGACCUGCACGAAUGGCGUAAUGAUGGCCAGGCUGUCUCCACCCGAGACUCAGUGAAAUUGAACUCGCUGUGAAGAUGCAGUGUACCCGCGGCAAGACGGAAAGACCCCGUGAACCUUUACUAUAGCUUGACACUGAACAUUGAGCCUUGAUGUGUAGGAUAGGUGGGAGGCUUUGAAGUGUGGACGCCAGUCUGCAUGGAGCCGACCUUGAAAUACCACCCUUUAAUGUUUGAUGUUCUAACGUUGGCCCGUAAUCCGGGUUGCGGACAGUGUCUGGUGGGUAGUUUGACUGGGGCGGUCUCCUCCUAAAGAGUAACGGAGGAGCACGAAGGUUGGCUAAUCCUGGUCGGACAUCAGGAGGUUAGUGCAAUGGCAUAAGCCAGCUUGACUGCGAGCGUGACGGCGCGAGCAGGUGCGAAAGCAGGUCAUAGUGAUCCGGUGGUUCUGAAUGGAAGGGCCAUCGCUCAACGGAUAAAAGGUACUCCGGGGAUAACAGGCUGAUACCGCCCAAGAGUUCAUAUCGACGGCGGUGUUUGGCACCUCGAUGUCGGCUCAUCACAUCCUGGGGCUGAAGUAGGUCCCAAGGGUAUGGCUGUUCGCCAUUUAAAGUGGUACGCGAGCUGGGUUUAGAACGUCGUGAGACAGUUCGGUCCCUAUCUGCCGUGGGCGCUGGAGAACUGAGGGGGGCUGCUCCUAGUACGAGAGGACCGGAGUGGACGCAUCACUGGUGUUCGGGUUGUCAUGCCAAUGGCACUGCCCGGUAGCUAAAUGCGGAAGAGAUAAGUGCUGAAAGCAUCUAAGCACGAAACUUGCCCCGAGAUGAGUUCU